CAUCAUUUUAUAUCCUGAAGUACAAUGUAAGAAUACUUGUUAAAUAACAUCAUAAUUUCAGGUAACCACAAUGUUCCAUUUGGAUCGACCCAUGUAUUUGCUUGGAUAUCUUGCCAGCCAAAGUCGGGUCUAUUUGAUAGACAAAGAGUUCAAUGUCGUUGGAUACACAUUGAAGUGUUAAGACCCUUGUAAUGCGUGGGGACUAUGAAAGAGCCAACGAAAUCUUACCUUCAAUUCCCAAGGAGCAUCGUAACAGUGUGGCCCGUUUCUUGGAAGCACGAGGUAUGAUAGAGGAAGCUCUGGAAGUAGCUACUGAUCCAGAGGAGUAUCCUAAUUUGUUUAAUGAUUGGCAAGUUGCACUUUCUGUUGAAUCUAGAGCUGCACAAGACAGGGAGUUAUCACUAAACAAAUGACUGCAAUAGAAGAAAUGGUUGCAAGUGAGUAAAAUUAGCCAGACCCUCAUCUUUGUGACAAGAUCUUGAAGUUAGUCAUUUGUGAAGCGUUCUAGUUUGCUAUUAGUUGCAGUUUUAGUUAUUGCUCUCUCAAUAUAUUCUUUUUCUUUUUUUUUCAAAGGAUGACCAGUGUAAUAAUUAAGCUUCAUAAUUUCUGUGUUUGGAUCCAAGUUGUAUAUAAAUGUACACAUUAUUAAGAUUUCAUUUUGUAUAUGUACAAGUAAAAGAUUUCAUUUUUAA